AACGAACGCUGGCGGCAUGCCUAACACAUGCAAGUCGAACGAGACCUUCGGGUCUAGUGGCGCACGGGUGCGUAACGCGUGGGAACCUGCCCUUAGGUUCGGAAUAACUCCCCGAAAGGGGUGCUAAUACCGGAUAAUGUCUUCGGACCAAAGAUUUAUCGCCUUUGGAUGGGCCCGCGUUGGUUUAGCUAGUUGGUAGGGUACAAGCCUACCAAGGCGACGAUCCAUAGCUGGUCUGAGAGGAUGAUCAGCCACACUGGGACUGAGACACGGCCCAGACUCCUACGGGAAGCAGCAGAUGGUAAUAUUGGACAAUGGGCGAAAGCCUGAUCCAGCAAUGCCGCGUGAGUGAUGAAGGCCUUAGGGUUGUAAAGCUCUUUUACCCGGGAUGAUAAUGACAGUACCGGGAGAAUAAGCUCCGGCUAACUCCGUG
rnacentral:rRNA from 1 species